rnacentral:rRNA from 1 species
AAUACGUUCCCGGACCUUGCACACACCGCCCGUCAAGCCAUGGAAGCUGGGUGUACCUAAAGUCGGUAACUGUAAGGAGCCGCCUAGGGUAAAACUAGUGACUGGGGCU